CUAUCAAAGAAGGAAGCUUGAGAGGUCUCUUCGAAGGCGUUUUAAGUGUUCUGUAAUCGAGCAAUCGAUUUCACAGCCCAUCCAUUGCCAUCGUCAGCUUCUCUCGUCAUCACCUUCUUGUAGAAUCUCUUCCCCACGAUCAAACCCGUCAUGAAAGACGUCGGCAUCGUCACCGAAUCCGAAUCGUUGUUCCGUCGUGGGUUCGGAGCUUUCACGAGGAUGUGCUUCUCGUUUCCCUUGUCGAACGAACGGAGAUGAGGAAGAAGGUUCCGAUGACUGACCAUCGGAUUCGGGUUUACGAGUAGACAACGAUCAUCGUCGAAUCGAUUUGGAUAUUUCUUCUCCAAUCGAUUUCUCAGAGCAAAAACAAAAACAACGCCGAAGAGGAAGAGGAGGAGGAAGAGGAAGAGGAAGAGAGAGAGAAGGCAAAACAAAUUAGCCAAUAAUAAAGUUACACGUAUGGGGUUUUUAGUGAUUCCAUAGAUGUUGGUUUAGGCAGCGGUUCUCUUCCUUUUUCUUUUUUUUUCCAUAUUUUUUUUGUUUUUUUUAAGAACUCUCUUUUCACCCCUCUCAUGGAGGUGAUCUAAGCCUUUAUAAAAUGUUUUGAUUGGUACAGCAUUAGCAUCAUGUUCUACAUUAUCUAAUCAAUAAUUUUAAAAAAACUAUUUAGAGAAGCAUUUACUAAAUGUUAAUGCUCUCCAAAUGUUCUCUGGCCAAUGCUCUCAUAUGAAGUUUUUAAAAGAGCAUUUGCAUUUAUAAUUUAUAAAAUUAAAGAAAAUAUAUAAUUUAUUUAUUUAUUUUAUUUAAUAAUAGCACAAAAUAAUCUUAUAUCCAGAAAAUAAAAUUUUAUUUCUAAAAUUAAUUUAUAAUAAAAAUAUUUUUUUAAAUAGUAUUUCACAUUUAAAAUAUAAUAUAAUUUAACAAGUACAGCUCCUUCAGCAUACUGCUUCUAUAGCAUACUGCUACUGCUAAUGGCAAUGUUCUACCAAUCAUGGCAUAUGUACAAUAGUUUCAAUGCCUUCUCCAUUUUCAAUAUCUUUAUUUUUCCCUUUUCACAUUCCAGAUCAUCUUUUUUCUCUCACACCUCAUUUAUUCAACACCCACUUCAUUUUAUAUUUCUACAAUAGUUUUGUUUAAAAAAAUUCAACACCCUACCCUACAACUUUUAAUUCAUAUUUUUGUUUUAAAACAUAACAAUUACAUAUUAAUAAUUAAUUUAAAACUAAAAUAAAAUAAAUUUUUAAUAAUAUUUAUUUAAAUUAUUAUACUAAGCUUAUUUUUAAAUUGAUAAUUAUUGGGAUUUUGGAAGUUGAACGAAAAAUUAGAAGAGUUUUGAGUGUUAAAAUAAUUAUUAUUAGAAUCCAUUUAACCAAAAAAAGUUUAAAACACUAAAAUAGUUGAUUAUAAUGAAAAAUGACGAUUUUUUUGUAUCCAAACAAAAUAAGAGUAGUAUCUAUCUAUAGAUAAAAAAAAUCUUGAAUUUUGAUAUAAAUUUAUAUUUUAAAAACAAAUUUUAUUAUAUAAUAAAUAUAUUUGAAUUAUUGGAUGGGGAUAAAUAUCAAGAGAAAUCUAUUCAGCCAAUGAGCAAAACAUUUAAAUCUUAUCCAAGUUAAAAAAGAAAGAAAUCAGGUUAGGCCGCGCGCUUGAUGCACACGCUAAAUGUUUCUGGCCAACCACAAAGUGACACGUGGCAGUGCGGACCACAAAUUUUUUUUUUCAACUGUUGAAACUUUUCUACUCUUGUUGAUGCCACGUACACAAACACAUUUUGGGUGGGUGAGUUUCAGUACCUCCAUUGUGAGUGGUCUAACGAUGCAAAUCAGCAAAGUUGAACCUAAAGAUUUGGUCAAGACCAUACCAAAAUUUUGACAUGUUGCAGAUGCUGUGCUUACAUUGAGUUAAAGGUAAUAAUAGAUUUGGCUUUUCAAGACCGAUAUGUUGAUAUCAAAGACAUAAAAGUAGUCAACACAUAUAUUAAGUUGCCAUUUUCAUGCUUCUUAAAAGACUAUUUAAAGGUCUCAUCCGUCAGAAAACAAACAUCAUCUGACAGUAAAAACAUAAACACUAUAAACACGAUAUUUUAAAACCAAAGAAAAGAUGGCAUCGAAGACAACAUUGUUCAUUUUGUUCGCCCUCUUCCUUUCAUGCAUAUUGUUGGUGAGCGUUCCUGGAGUUGAAGCGCAGUUGAUAAUUCCAUGCAAGACAGCAGCUGAUUGUAAAUCGAAGCUUUUUUGUUCCAACGGAAGUCCGCAAUGUGUGGUUAGACAAUGCCAAUGUGCGAGCGUCAAACCAGUUAAACUGAUGAGGACAAAUACUCAUGUCCAUCAAGAGAAUCUUUGAUUGUGCUUCUCAUCAUCAAUGGCCGAACAAUUUAUAUGCUUGCAUUGAAGGAAAAUGUACUUCUUUGCCUUUAUAACCAAAUUUCUAUUUUAAUUAAUUUCUCGUAAGUUUAAUAAAACACAAAAAAUCUCUUAUAUAA